rnacentral:rRNA from 1 species
UACGUAGGGUGCGAGCGUUAAUCGGAAUUACUGGGCGUAAAGCGUGCGCAGGCGGUUUGUUAAGACAGAUGUGAAAUCCCCGGGCUUAACCUGGGAACUGCAUUUGUGACUGGCAAGCUAGAGUAUGGCAGAGGGGGAUAGAAUUCCACGUGUAGCAGUGAAAUGCGUAGAGAUGUGGAGGAAUACCGAUGGCGAAGGCAGCCCCCUGGGCCAAUACUGACGCUCAUGCACGAAAGCGUGGGGAGCAAACAGG